AUGCCACGACUCAAUGCUGCAGCAAUCACCGCGCUUACUGAUUGUUGGAGGCCAGAGACACACAGUUUCCAUCUUCGGACCGGGGAGAUGACCGUGACGCUCCAGGAUAUUGCUAUGAUCACCGAUCUUCUUAUCAAGGGGAAUCCUCUAUGUAUGAGCACCGAUUCUGAUGGGUGGUGCGAGAAGAUGCAUGCCCUUAUCGGUAUGGUUCCUCCGGAGCCUCGGGAACCAGAAGCGGAAGACAAGAAGAAGGAAAGAGUCGCAGACUAUGUUUGCUGA
rnacentral:rRNA from 1 species